rnacentral:rRNA from 1 species
UCAGCCACACCCCCAAGGGAAUUCAGCAGUGAUAAACAUUAAGCAAUAAGUGAAAACUUGACUUAGUUAAAGCUAAUCAGGGUCGGUAAAACUCGUGCCAGCCACCGCGGUUAUACGAGAGACCCAAGAUGACAGAUACCGGCGUAAAGAGUGGUUAGGUGAAUGAAUAACUAGAGCUCAACACCCUCCAGGCUGUUAUACGCACCUGAGGAAAUGAAAGCCUAACACGAAAGUAGCUUUAAAAAACUGAACCCACGAAAACCGUGAAACAAACUGGGAUUAGAUACCCCACUAUGCACGGUCGUAAACAAUGAUGUGAAAGUACCCAACAUCCGCCAGGGGACUACAAACCCCAGUUUAAAACCCAAAGGACUUGGCGGUGCUUUAGACCCCCCUAGAGGAGCCUGUUCUAGAACUGAUAACCCCCGUUAAACCUCACCCUCCCUUGUUUUAUCCGCCUAUAUACCGCCGUCGUCAGCUUACCCUCUGAAGGAAAAACAGUGAGCAAAAUUAGUACAACCCAAAACGCCAGGUCGAGGUGUAGUAUAUGGGAGGGGAAGAAAUGGGCUACAUUCGUCUACUGAUGAAUACGAAUAGUUUAUUGAAAAAUGAAUUUGAAGGAGGAUUUAGCAGUAAAAAGGAAAUAGAGUGUCCUUUUGAAAUUGGCCCUGAAGCGCGCACACACCGCCCGUCACUCUCUCCUACAUGAUUAUUAAACCUUAAAUAAAAAUACUUAAAUAAAUAAGGGGAGGCAAGUCGUAACAUGGUAAGUGUACCGGAAGGUGUACUUGGAAUAU